AACACACAACUUAUUUAUACCAAGUCCUUACACAUUGCCACAAAGAAGCAUAAUACAAAUACUACUUCACACUUAUUUGCUUAAAAUCCUGAAUCCGCAGCUUGUUGAUGCUCAGCUGAAGUUGCAGAUAUAUCUCAAGAUACUUAAAACACACUUAUUUAUACCGACUCCUUGCACAUUGGCAUAAAGGAGCACUAAUACAUUACUAUUUCACACGAACCAACUUUAAAAUCCUGAAUCCGCCUCCAAAUGUGCUGGAACACAUUUUUCCUUCACCAGCUAAUGUCUGGCUUAUGGCAGUUCCUUGUUAGGCAGAGCACUUCAUUCCUGCAGACUUCCCAUGUUAGAAGCCUUCUCAUUUUUCAUAAUGGCAUGGAAUAAUGUAGCUCGAUCCUCCUCAACGAUUUCUCUCAAUAAUUCAUCUUCAAUUUUUGGUGCUUGCCAGUGAGAAGGGUCCUCCACAAGGUCUUCACUGAAUAUCAUGCUUGAUACCCAUUCUUUCCAUGUUGUUCUUUUGUAUUUCUCCUCUUCCAGUGUGCCCGUUGCCAGAAGCUGGUAGACAUAGACAACUUUGUCCUGACCAGGACGAAAAGCCCGUGCAAUGGCUUGCUUGCUCUUGGAAGGAUUCCACUCCGAAUCCAGUAAUAUUACACGUGAUGCUGCGGUCAAGCUAAUGCCUUCUGCACAAGUUGUAAUGGAUGCCAACAUAACCUUUGAUGGUCCACCUGGCUCCUCAAAUAGAUCCAUUAUCCUUCCUCUUUGAAAAAGCUCAAUGUCACCUUGAAGCACCAGUACUUCAAUGCCCUUUCUCCACCCAUAGAACCUCUCAAAUAUCUCCAGAAAAAGAUUAAUUGGAGCAAUAUUGUGGCAAAAUAUCAAAACCUUUUCUCUCCUGAGGAGACAACGAGGAAUUAGGCUCAUCACAAAUUUGACUUUCGAACCCAGCUUCAGAUCAAACUUGAAUUUCUGGAGAGCCUCCAGCUCCUCUUCCUUGAAGUACUGGCUAGAACAUGCUGUCGUUCUGAUCAACCAAGGAUGGAUUGCACCAAGGGUAAUCAACAGCUCUAACUCCAGAGGAAAUCCUUUAUAGAUGGGCCUUUGAUUUUGAAGCUUCACCAAGAUCUCUUGUUGAAGAGUAGUUGAUUUCAUCAUCAAGGUGUAACAUUGUAAACCAGGAAGGUUAUCAGAUGUUCCACCAUCAUGCACAUCUAUGAAUCCACCUGUUAGUUUCUUCAAUAUGUUUAGGCCUUCUUUCCUUUUCUUGGGGAUGUCUGAAUCAAUGACAGUUGAAAUUUUAUCAAUAAACAUCUUUCUUGCUCGAUUUUCCAAUGAAAAGCGCGAUGCACCUUUGUUUUUGUUCUUGUACUUGGGAUCAAGCUCCUUCAAGACCUCAUCAACAAAAGUUGGCCUUGCUAAGGUAAGUGUAUUGAAAUACUCUCCAAAAUUAUUCUGAAAUAAUGUACCAGAAAGUAAAAUCCUAAGCCGUGUAUUGACCUUCAUUAGACCCUUUCUUAACCGGGAUUUUGUACUUCUUGGGUUGUGCCCUUCAUCAAGUAUUAGUAGCCCUGGACACUGCCGCAACACCUGAGCCAUAUAUUUCCUAUGCGCAUAAGGUGAAUCUUCCCGUGUCAGUGUUAAGAAAGAGGUGUAACCCAUGAGGAGAACACUUGGUUGCGAAAGCCACAUCUGCAUUUUCUCAAGGCAGUCCAAGACAUGCAUGACAUCUUGGUUGCGAGGAAGACCAGGACAUAAUUUCACCUUUUCCCUUAGAACCUCUCCCUUAAAGGUUUGACCACCAUGAAUUUGGUAGACUGGCACAGGAAUCUUCCACUUCAGUACUUCUUUGUACCAGGUGUAGAGUGUUGUCUUGGGAGCAAGG
rnacentral:misc_RNA from 1 species